UGUGCCUGGAUAUCUGGUGAGACCUAGGCUCCUUAGCAAAGACUAUGGUGCUAUUAUCUUUGCAGUAUAGUGUCACGGCAUCUGAUGGCGUAAUGUCCAAUUCUGCAACUAACAUUAGAACCAAAAUGCAUCCUACACAUCUACAGUGUGCUCAGCUUCCAUCGAUCGAUUAUUUGAAACUCUUUAAAGAUAUCGACAUAGAAACACACCCCA
rnacentral:lncRNA from 1 species